AAAACUUUCAACAACGGAUCUCUUGGUUCUGGCAUCGAUGAAGAACGCAGCGAAAUGCGAUAAGUAAUGUGAAUUGCAGAAUUCAGUGAAUCAUCGAAUCUUUGAACGCACAUUGCGCCCCCUGGUAUUCCGGGGGGCAUGCUUGUUCGAGCGUCAU
rnacentral:rRNA from 1 species